AGCUUUGCGCAGGGGCAGUAUUGUAGCCAAUGAGGUUUAUCCGAGGCGCGAUUAUUGCUAAUUGAAUAGAGAGCCCAGAAAUGGACCCUCAACUUUAUGGUCAACUAAUCUUCGAUAAAGCAGGAAAGAAUGUCCAAUGGAA